UAAACACUCAUAUAGGGCUACUACGCUCACGUCCAACGCUUACGUCACACCAUAAUGCGGCUAUAUGCUACGCCAUUAAGGUGGACGGACACAUAUGGCUAGCUAGCAUUUUAUAUACAUACUCUCUCAUAAAUACAUAUUUAUAUCUACCGAAAAUCCCAUUUUCGGUAACUCUCCAAGAGAAAUAAAAUUCGUCAAAUUAAAAUGACGUCAAAAUAUUCCGCAACAAUUAUUGUUCAACCAUGAACUCUAGCAUGCAUUUUAUUUAAAACAAAAGUCCACUCACAAAUUAGGCCUAAGCCUGAUGUCGAUCUGGGGUCUCGUCUGCUCGAGCCUCCUCACGUCCUGUUCCAAAUAUAAUAUUAAUUUCCUAACUAACAAUCCAAUAUUUAAUCAAAAUAGGCAAAAUUACCCGUGAGCCAUAAAUACGCUCAUCAUUGCCUAACUUCGAUAUUCUUAAAUCGAAACGAUCCGAACUUAAAUAUCAUACUCGACAGUUGUAAAUACAACCUCCCCAAAAAUACGACUUAAAUCUUACGGCUGGAUUCUACAUUAAUUAACCGCCAAAAAUACCAAACUUCGGAAAUUCACAAACCUAUCCAAAUCUCAUCCAAAAAUUCCAUAAAUCACAUCAAUAUAAUCCCCUUAAUAUUCCACAUUUAAAACCAUAAAAAUCUCCCAAACAGCGACGGCGGCUCCGCCGGCAGCGGCGGCCGGAGGCCGAUUCCAGUGACCUCCAAUGCCUAUGAAAUUUUGAUAGAAUAAUCCUCUCAUCAUGCUCUACAACUCUCUUAACUAGCACAAACACCAAUUCCAAGCCUAACUAGGGUAAUCGACUAAAAACAUCCUAAAAGCCCUAGAAAUUUCAACUCCACAUUUCUCCUUGCCUAGCUCAAGAGAGGGUGAGCUCUUUGGAGGGGUUGCUGCACUGGAGGAGGGCUACAAAACGAGCUAAGGAUCGCCGGUUUUGGUGGCCGGAGGAGGGAGUUCCGGUAAAGGAUAGUCCGGCGUCUCCGGAGGGAAAACUCCCGCUCGGCGGCGUUACCGGCAGGGGCACUAGGCCGGGAAGGGAGAGGAGGUGGCGGGGCUCCGAACUGGGUUGGAGCGGCGGCCGGUGACUGGCCGGACGGCGGCAUACGUUGGCUGGACGAUCCGGUAGGGAAGAAGACUCGGGGGGAGGGGAAAACGGGAGAGAAGAGAGGGAAAUGGGUUGGGCCUUUCCAACCGGUCCAACUCCACCAUUAUAUCCAACUCCCAAAAAUAAUAAAACACCCCGAAAAAUAAUACCCUAAUAAAAAUUACCUUUUACUAGCUAAAAUUUACCAUUUUUUACCGUCGUCGUAUUUUCCUCCUACGAAUAAUCCUCCGCACAUAAUCGUCCCCGAAACCCCUCUAGGGACCAAUUAAACUAUUAACUUAAUGACGGAGACGGUAAAAUUCUUAUUAUAAUCAAGCUAGUAAAUAAGGUAAAAAUAUAAAGGUCGGGAUGUGACAUUUUCUGCUGGAAGAGAGAGCGUCCAAAUGAUACCAACAGCUCCGGCUAUGGUGGCCGAAAAAGGGAUUUUCCGGCGAAAACCCCGCCACGCACAGCAGCGGCUUUUCGGCAUGAUUUCUCCUUCACGGUGACGCGACACGGGCUGCCACCUAUCUAAACUUGUAGAGGAUGCUCCAAGCUUCAAAUCAACACCUAGCACGCCUCCUAUCUCGGCCGGACGGUGGCGGACGGCGACCGGAAAGUUUCCGGGUCGGGAGAGCUCGGGGAUGAGGCCGGGAAGGAGAGAAGAGAAAGGGAAAAGAGAGGGCUGGGAUGUGACAUAAUCUACCUUGAAAAUGGACAACCCUUACCUGAAAAAUUCUGGAUAAACACUUCUAUUAUAAAUCAUCCAUUCUCAACUCCUAGAGCUUCUUGCUCCUUAAGUUCACAACAUCUCCCAAAACAUCAAGCCUUAAUCAAUUAAUAACAAUCUCAAAUGGUCAUCAGAGCAUAUUUAUAAUGAACGAAAAACAAUGAAUAAAGAAUAAGCGGAAGCAGCCUCUAAGUAUGACUCGACUCCAUGUAUGCUCGACUACAAUUAAACUUAACCUGCAAACUGAGCAUUUAAAACCAAAGGGCCCAGGGAAAAUAAUUUAAAACGUUAGAGUGAGUAGACAAAAAUAAAUUAAAUAAUUUAACAAAUACAUAAUUUAUAUAUUUUCCCACGUUUCAACUUUUAAAAUUUAACUACACACAUCUUUGAUAAUCCAAACAACUCAGAAUUCCAUAAAAAUAGACAAACCAGCGGGAUCAAAUACAGAAAUCUCGACAGAAGAGAUAAACCAGCCCCGGUGGUUAAUCAAUUACAUAAAUGAGAAAAAUAAGACAAGGGGAAGAGAUAUCACCAUAUAAAAGGAGCCUCCAAGGCUCGGGUCGGUGCCUCCCAGGCUAUAGUAGCGUCCCACGCUAAGCGCUUGACUCACCUAUGGUUAGGACCGCUAAUAAGACUAGCUAGCAAUGAAUAGUAGUAACCGAUCGGUGCCUCCCAGGCUACAGUAGCGUCCCACGCUAAGGGCUCGACUUAUCUAUGUUGAGGACCGCUAAUAAAGGCUAGCUAAUAAUGAAUAAGAGCAACCCUAUAGUAUGGUGACUAAAAACAUACGAAAUCAUUUAUGUCAAGACCCACCCCGAAUUUCAUCCUGAAACCCGAAGUAAAUCCUGCGGGGACCACCUCCACCUCCAAGGAAAGAGUACCGAAAAUUCGGCAUAACCUCCUUUGAAAAUGGACAACCCUUCCUAAUAAUACCUGCAUACACUUCUGAAAAUCCAAAUCCAACCUUAAACUUCUGGAGCCAUCAUGCUCCCCCAAAUCACAACAUCUCUCAAUUUAUUUACUAACUUUAAAAAGAAAAUCUCACAACCAACAACCACAGUUCAGAGCAACUCUAUUUGAGAGGAAAAGAACUAGAAAUAUAAAAAUGAGCGGAAUCUAUAUUAUUGACUAUGCCUCUUCUUCAUGUACGCCCGACCUCAACUAUGCUAACCUGCAUACUAGGCAUUUUUAAAACGAAGGACCAAGGGGAAACAUUUGAAAAUGUUAGAGUGAGUAGACAAAAAUGAAUUUAAUGAAAAAUAUUUAUGCUUUCCCAAUUUAAAUUUCAAUAGAAAAUAUGCUGCAUGCGACAGCUCAAAAGCUCUCAACUCAACAAUUGACAAUUACAUGACUAGCUCCGGCUAGUCUCCAAACUUAAUAAAAUAAAGCCUCUCAGGCUAAACUAAUAUAUAUAUAUAUAUAUGUAUGCAUUUACACUCAUCAUACUCCUUGUACGAAUUCUAUGAAGGAAUAAGAAAAUAGAAAUUUAUACAAGGCUACUACGCUUGCGUCUAACGCUCACGUCACACCAUAACAGAAUUUUACAUCAUUAUGGUGGAAAAGAACGAGUGUAUAUAUACGUGCAUAUUCCCUAUAUAAAUUACUAAAUUUAUAAAGGGCUGCGACGAUUGCGUCUAACGCUCACGUCACACCAUAAUGGAAUUUUACCUCAUUAUGGCAGAAAAGCACGUAUAGCUAGCUAGCAUUUAUUUAUAUACAUACUAUCCUCAUAAUAUCCACAUACAUAUUCACUGAAAAUCUCAUUUUCAGUAAGUCUCAAAAACGAUGAAAAUUGCCAAAUAUCCGAAAAAACAAUAAAUCCCAGCAGAAGAAUAACUGAUCAACAAAAUAAUGCAUCACAUGCUUUUUAAAUUAAAAGCCACAACUUUAGGCAUAAGCCCGACGAAAUCCAAUUCGCCACUCAAGUGAGGUCUACACGAAUCCUGGCACAAUAACCAUUCUUAGGACCAAACUUCAAUUUCAGAAAAAAUAAUACUUAAAUAUAGAACACAAAACUCUUCCUCCUAAUCCACUACACUUUCUAAGGUUAAGCUUAUCGGAUUCACGCCAAACUCCAACCACAACCUCAAUUCAUUUAUUUCAACAUUCUAAAACAAUAAUAAGGAAAAUCCAACGGUCUGAUUCUACCCCAUUAACCGCCAAAUUCACCAAUCUUUCAAAAAUCCCAAACCUAUCCAAAACUCCUCCAAAAAUUCCAAACUUCACAUCAUUAAACUUCCCUUAAUAUUACACAUUUAAAACCAUGAAAAUCCCCUAACAGCGGCGGCGCAGCCGUCUGCUAUGCCGGCUGUGGCGGCUGGCGGCCGACUCCGGCUACCCUCAAUGCCUACCAAAUUUUAACAGCUUCCUCCUCUCAACACACUACAACUUUCUUAACUAGCACCAAGUCCAAUUUCAAGCUUAGGCCAGUAGAACAAAAACUUACAAUAAAACCCUAUAACUUCAAACACUCGAAUCUCCUUACCUAGGCCAAGAGAGAGUGAAACAUUUGGAGGGAUGAAUGCACGGGAGGAGAGCUUCCUUCUGAGCCAAGUAGCUUCGGCUAUGGCGGCCGGAGGAGAAAGUUCCGGCGACGGAACACCACGGACAGCUGGAGCUUCCAAGCGCGAUCUCUCCUUCACGGCCGCGCUAGGGAGGCUGCCAUCGGUCCAGGAAGGAAGAGGAGAUGAUGGCUGACCGUUUGGGACUGGUGCGGCUACCUGCGGUGGCUGGACGGCGACGGAUGGUCGGGUUGAAGUUCCGGUAGGGAGAGAGCUCGGGGAGGAAAAGAGAAGAGAAAGAGAGAGAGAGAGAGUGGGCUUUUGACUACACUAACCCAAUCCACUCCCUUAAAACCCAAACCAACAAAUAAAACACCUCAAAAAUAAUACCCUAUUAAAAAUUCCUUUUUUACUAGCUAAAAUACCACUUUUACCGUUGUCAUAUUUUUCCCUUGCGAAUAAUCCUUCUGAAAUAAUCCUCCCCCAAAACCCCUCUAGGGACCAAUUAAACUAUAAACUCAUUGACGAAGACGGUAAAACUCUUAUUAAUACCAAGCUAAUAAAUAAGGUAAAAAUUUAAGAGUCAGGAUGUGACAAUUCUUCCCUCCUUAUAAAAAAUUUCGUCCUCGAAAUUUACAUACUUGACAAUCAAAGAGGAAGGGAUAUUGGUGCCUCAUUUGCUCCUCCGAUUUCCAAGUAGCCUGCUCUACUUGAUGACUCCUCCACAGAACUUUAACAAGUGGAAAUGAUUUGCUUUUAAGCACUUGCUCCUUUUGGUCAAGAAUUUGAACCGGCUCCUCAUCAUAGGUCAAAUCUUUCUUCAAAUUAAUCGGUUGCUCUUGCAACACAUGAGAGAGAUCGGCAAUAAACUUGCGAAGCAUGGAUACAUGAAACACAUUAUGUAUCUUGGAUAACUCUGGAGGCAAAACUAACCGAUACGCAAGUGAGCCAACUCGCUUUAUAAUCUCAUAAAGACCAAUAAAUCUUGGACUAAGUUUUCCACGUUUACCAAAACGUAUUACCCUUUUCCAAGGAGAAAAUUUCAAGAACACCCAAUCACCCACUUGAAACUCAUGGUCCAUCUUGCGGACAUCUUUAUAACCCUUCUGUCUACUUUGGGCUGCUUUGAGUCUAUCUCUAACUACUUUAAUCUUUUCAUUUAUAUCCUGAAUUAUUUUAAAUCUUUUCAAAGACUCUAAAUCCUUCGUUGAACUACCACUAACGUUUAUACGUAAGUGAGUUCAGUGAUACCUGCUCCAGAGUAUGAGUACCCGUAGGUAUGCACACUUUUUCCUAAGCAAUGGAAAUAGCUAACCCAAAUAAAACGCAUAAAUUUGCUAUCACCAUCGGGCUCAAAUCUCUUAACGUCAUGCAACAAUCUCAUCAUUACGUUGCUCACAACUAGACAAUGAAGCCCACUUGCUAGGAAACUAAAGUUCAUGCAUUCCCACAUGCUCAUAGGGGUCAAAAUUAAGACCCGCUAAUUGAACAGAUUUAAAGAUGCACACACUACAGAACUGCAACAAUCACUUCUAAUACCGAGACACUUCGCAGAGUCUUUCGCGGAGUCAAAGCUCUCGCAAGGCCACAUGACAACCUUGCUCUGCCUAAGUGACCAGUCCACCAACAUAUGAUAACCUCGAUUCUUGAAAUGACAUUAUGUAGAGAUCAAUACUACGUCACUUAGGUCUCUCCACCAAAACUAUUACAUUACCAUUUUGAGCACCACAAACUAGCAGCUUAUGGGAAUUCCAACUCUCUCCUGAUUCUGCUAUCUCCACUAAUCUCUUUACCACAAACCAGAAGAUAAUCUGAAACAUGACUAUCAUGUGGGAACUAGAUAUUCCUCCUUGCUCGCGAAAAACAAAACUGACUAAUAAUGCCCACGGAAAAUUGGCAUAGUCAAUUCAUGAUGCUAAACUUGACGUUGAAUCCACAUAAAUAGAACACAUUCCUUAAGCAUUGACAAAAUUUACAUCUCCAGCCAUGCUACUUAUUCGGGUGCAACCGCGACCCCAAGUGCAACAAUUAAAAGCACACGGCUCACUCUAGCCGUUCCACAAGAAUGAUUCUAAAUGCCAAAACCUUUGGACCUGACAAACCCACUUUUUUUUUUUUCUACCUCUAAUAACAAUUAAUCUGAUAGCAGAAUACGAUCUGAAAAUCAGAUAUGCUCAAGUCUCCUACACCUCCCAGGCGCCACGGCUUCCCACCAAAAAGAUUCUCCAAUAACCGAGCUUGCAGCACCAAGUUAACCAUCGAAUAUAAAAAUUAAUUUCCAUAACAGACCCACUACUACAUUUUGUGGUUCACCAUCCAACGAAAACUAUAAGUUCAAGAAAGAAACAACACUCAUGGCUAAUCUCAACGCAAGCUCCAGAAUAAAUAACUUAAAAUUCAUGAAAGACAAGUCCCACAACUUCGAGCUCAAAAGCUUCACAAAUCACCGACGUCCACUAGAACCUGAUUUGAAAACGCACUAGAAACCAACAUUUAAUAGUGGUUUCAACUAAUCACUCUGACACCAACGGAUGAACACACAACCAAAUAGCAAAGACUUCCCAAAUCAAACUUGGAUCAAUAAGUGGUCCCACCACAAUACGAUCCCGAAAAGAGACGUCGUUCAACCUAUCCAUAUAUCUACUAUUCACCAUAUUAAAUCUCUUAAUAAAUCUUGACUCGAAGUGCUUCUUGAGUCAACAAGGGAAAACCCUCUUCCAUAGGGCUACACAUAAAAUAUACCUACAACGACACAAACCAUCUAUUCAACAUCAGCACGUGACUCUUAGACUACCACAUAGGACUUACGGGUCCAAGAUUCAUCGUUUAAUUGAACUCCAGCUCACUUGGGAUCACGAUUGGAUUUACCCAUGAUCCAUGUCUACGACACAACAAGCAAUUUAUCAUUUGCCUCAAAAAAAUUCGACAAACUAACCAGAAUCACUAACCUUCAAAUCAAAGAGUUUGAAUUUGCACUCCAUAGUUUCAAGCUCUGAGGAUGCUACCCAAAAACUACAGCAGGAAUAAUUUAUAUAUUCCCACACACAUAACAACCAAAACUCUGCUCCACAUCAUCGAAUUAGAUAUAAGGUGAGUGAACUGAUACUCUCAUUGAUGUGUCAUAGCUAGUCUCCAAAUGCUAAUGAAGUGAUGUCAAUAAACCAACUUGGAUCCCAAAUUCAAGACUUAUAUCAACCACCCGGAACGAUACUGCUUAAAAAUUACUUUGGAUACCCACGCACUCUUGCUCCAUGAUCUAAUGGGUUUUAUUCCACUGCUACCACUUCCACCAACUCUACACAAUUGCUAUAGAAUACCCAUGACAACACGUAAUAAAUUCACCAGGUGUUGUCGUAAAACUAGAGUGACCACAACCAUCCCGCUCUCACUCCACCGUUACAUUUCAAUUCCAUUUACAUUAUCAACUUCCCAAACACUCAACAAAUCUAGAAACCAAACUUACACCUAGAAUUUCGAAAGAAUCCAUAAUGGCCCCACGAUUAAAAUAAUAUAACUAACAUCUCACUCCACGAUUCCAAACUUGCUUGAAACUCAAAACAUUUAGUGCCACCAUUCAAUUUCUAAAAUUUCCCGAUUGUGGCACAACAACAAGUUGUCACAACGCACUGACCAAUGACUUAUGUAAAACCAACCCAAGGAAAAACAAUCCAAGUCAUUACACUUAGUGCUUUAACAAACUUCAACUAACCCACAAUAGAGACCAAAAUCAUUAGAAAUCUUACUAUUCAUCGACUACUAUGAUCCGUCAUUUUCAAAAGAUAUUACCACCACCAUCUUAAUAAAUUGGUCAAAAGAUAAAAUCUUAUCCAUAAUUAGAGUUGUAGGAACCAGAAUAUGUGCUGACAUAACCAGCAUUAUCCCAAAAUGUUCCCAACUGCUUUCUGUUGCGGAUAAAAAAUAGUCGGCAAAUUGGCCUUCAAUCAUGACUUAUCUAAAUUGACAUUUAGCUCUUUAUGUAGCAAUGCCUUACAACCCAAUCACUAGCCACAAAUCCCACGUGACUAAAUCGCUCAAGCUUAGGGUCUGCAACAGCUCAUAAAGGUACCUCCAAGAGUUACUAUAGGUACCCCACGAUAACACUUCAACUAACUUUAACAUCAAAAGAAUACACCACUACUUCGAACUUUCUUUCCAACUAUUUCCUCCCAGAAGUCACAUAACUCGAAGCCAAGGUUUUCUAUCAGACUACAACAACUCCUUACUUGCCCACCAAAAACAGAAUACUCCCAAGACAUAAAUUGAAACAUUUCACCUACCAUAGAUUCACACAAAUUGCCUAACCUAGCAUCUUAAUCAUCACCCAAACAAUCAUUGAUCAAAAGAAAAGAAUGUUGCCACGCUUAUGAGUUCCCAACUGGAGUUCCCAACUCACAAUUGAACUCUAACAAUUUAUGAUAUCAACUCGAUACCCUUGGAAAAGGCGUGAUCCAUACACCAUUUCAUUACUCAAAGCAUAAUGAUUUACUUAAGAGGUCGGCGUACAGAGGCUUAGUCUUAGAGAUAUAGACAUUUAUGGUACAAUAUUGUCCAUAAACAAGAUAGGAACAACUACAUCACAAACCUAAUCAACACAUAGUGUCUAAAACAUAUAAUGCUAAUGGAUCCGCCGCGGUCGGACCAUCACUCUAUAAACACUAAGCAUGACCAAGAAUAUGAAGUAGUACUAAAAAGAGAAAGGAAUCGAAUAACCUAGUGCUCUGAUAUGAACUUUCAAGACCCACCCCGAAUUUCACCCUGAAACCCGAAGUAAAUCCUACGGGGACCACCUCCAAGGAAAGUUUACCGAAAAUUCGGCAUAACCUCCUUUGAAAAUAGACAACCCUUCCUAAUAAUACCUGCAUACACUUCUGAAAAUCCAAAUCCAACCUUAAACUCCUGGAGUCUUCGUGCUCUCCUAAAUCACAACAUCUCUCAAUUUGUUUACUAACUUUAAAAACAAAAUCUCACAACCAACAACCACAGUUCAGAGCAACUCUAUUUAAGAGGAAAAGAACUAGAAAUAUAAAAAUGAGCGAAAGUUAUACUAUUGACUUUGCCUCUUCUUCAUGUACGCCUAACCUCAACUAUGCUAACCUACAAACUGGGCAUUUUUAAAACAAAGGGCCCAGAGGAAAACAUUUGAAAAUGUUAGAGUGAGUGGACAAAAAUGAAUUUAAUGAAAAAUAUUUAUGCUUUCUCAAUUUAAAUUUCCAUAGAAAAUAUGCUGCAUGCGACAGCUCAAAAGCUCUCAACUCAACAAUUAGCAAUUACAUGACUAGUUCCGGCUAGUCUUAAUAAAAUAAAGCCUCUCAGGCUAAACUAAUAUAUAUAUAUAUAUAUAUAUAUGUAUUUACACUCGUCAUACCCCAUAUACGAAUUCUAUGAAGGAAUAAGAAAAUUAGAAAUUCAUACAAGGCUACUACGCUUGCAUCUAACGCUCACGUCACACC
rnacentral:lncRNA from 1 species